ensembl:misc_RNA Metazoa_SRP Metazoan signal recognition particle RNA
GCUGGGCGUGGUGGUGCAUGCCUGUAAUCCCGGCUACUACUCAGGAGGCUGAGGCAGGAGAAUCACUUGAACCCAGGAAGUGGAAGUUGCAGUGAGCUGGGAUCGUGCCACUGCACUCCAGCCUGGGUGACAGAGAGAGACUCUGUCUCAA